rnacentral:tRNA from 1 species
GCCCACUUGCCUCAAUUGGUACAGGGCCUGCCUUGUAAGCAGGAAUUUUGGCGGUUCGAGUCCGUCAGUGGGCACCA